CAUGCAAAUAGAGUUCCGACCAGAGAUGGAAGGAAUGCUUUUAUUAGAUCAAAACCAAUCGGUAGCGGGCUUGCCUUGCUUACCGUUUGACUUGGUGACUCUGAAUAACUUUGUGCUGAUCGCACGGUCUCGCACCGGCGACGCAUCUUUCAAAUGUCUGCCUUAUCAACUGUCGAUGGUAGUUUCUGCGACUACCAUGGUUGUUACGGGUAACGGGGAAUCAGGGUUCGAUUCCGGAGAGGGAGCCUGAGAAACGGCUACCACAUCCAAGGAAGGCAGCAGGCGCGCAAAUUACCCACUCCCGGCACGGGGAGGUAGUGACGAAAAAUAACGAUACGGGACUCAUCCGAGGCCCCGUAAUCGGAAUGAGUACACUUUAAAUCCUUUAACGAGGACCCAUUGGAGGGCAAGUCUGGUGCCAGCAGCCGCGGUAACUCCAGCUCCAAUAGCGUAUAUUAAAGUUGUUGCGGUUAAAAAGCUCGUAGUUGAAUCUGUGUCCCACACUGUCGGUUCACCGCUCGCGGUGUUCAACUGGCAUGUCUGUGGGACGUCCUACCGGUGGGCUUAGCCCGUCAAAAGGCGGCCCAACUCAUAAUCCUACCACGGUGCUCUUCACCGAGUGUCGAGGUGGGCCGGUACGUUUACUUUGAACAAAUUAGAGUGCUUAAAGCAGGCUCAUUCGCCUGAAUAUUCUGUGCAUGGAAUAAUGGAAUAGGACCUCGGUUCUAUUUUGUUGGUUUUCGGAACUCCGAGGUAAUGAUUAAUUGGGACAACUGGGGGCAUUCGUAUUGCGACGUUAGAGGUGAAAUUCUUGGAUCGUCGCAAGACGGACAGAAGCGAAAGCAUUUGCCAAAUGUGUUUUCAUCAAUCAAGAACGAAAGUUAGAGGUUCGAAGGCGAUCAGAUACCGCCCUAGUUCUAACCAUAAACGAUGCCAGCUAGCGAUCCGCCGAAGUUCCUCCGAUGACUCGGCGGGCAGCUUCCGGGAAACCAAAGCUUUUGGGUUCCGGGGGAAGUAUGGUUGCAAAGCUGAAACUUAAAGGAAUUGACGGAAGGGCACCACCAGGAGUGGAGCCUGCGGCUUAAUUUGACUCAACACGGAA
rnacentral:rRNA from 1 species